AUUGAACGCUGGCGGCAGGCCUAACACAUGCAAGUCGAACGGUAACAGGAAACAGCUUGCUGUUUCGCUGACGAGUGGCGGACGGGUGAGUAAUGUCUGGGAAACUGCCUGAUGGAGGGGGAUAACUACUGGAAACGGUAGCUAAUACCGCAUAACGUCGCAAGACCAAAGAGGGGGACCUUCGGGCCUCUUGCCAUCGGAUGUGCCCAGAUGGGAUUAGCUAGUGGGUGGGGUAACGGCUCACCUAGGCGACGAUCCCUAGCUGGUCUGAGAGGAUGACCAGCCACACUGGAACUGAGACACGGUCCAGACUCCUACGGGAGGCAGCAGUGGGGAAUAUUGCACAAUGGGCGCAAGCCUGAUGCAGCCAUGCCGCGUGUAUGAAGAAGGCCUUCGGGUUGUAAAGUACUUUCAGCGGGGAGGAAGGGAGUAAAGUUAAUACCUUUACUCAUUGACGUUACCCGCAGAAGAAGCACCGGCUAACUCCGUG
rnacentral:rRNA from 1 species